rnacentral:rRNA from 1 species
AGAGUUUGAUCCUGGCUCAGAACGAACGCUGGCGGCGUGCUUAACACAUGCAAGUCGAGUGCGCGGUGCCGUAGCAAUACGGUACUGGCGCACGGCGCACGGGUGCGUAACACGUGGGUAAUCUGCCCUCUGAUGGGGAAUAACCCCGCGAAAGCGGGGCUAAUACCGCAUAACAUUCCUUGGACUCCGGUUUGAGGACUCAAAGCCGUAAGGCGUCGGAGGUGGAGCCCGCGCACGAUUAGCUAGUUGGUAGGGUAACGGCCUACCAAGGCUAUGAUCGUUAGCUGGUCUGAGAGGAUGGCCAGCCACACUGGAACUGAGACACGGUCCAGACUCCUACGGGAGGCAGCAGUGGGGAAUCUUGCGCAAUGGGCGAAAGCCUGACGCAGCGACGCCGCGUGGGGGAUGAAGCUUCUCGGAGCGUAAACCCCUUUCGACCGGGACGAAUGCCCGCAAGGGAGUGACGGUACCGGUAUAAGAAGCCCCGGCUAACUACGUGCCAGCAGCCGCGGUAAGACGUAGGGGGCCAGCGUUGUUCGGAAUUACUGGGUGUAAAGGGUUCGUAGGCGGUGUGGCAAGUCGGGAGUGAAAUCUCUGGGCUCAACUCAGGGGCUGCUUCCGAAACUGCUGUGCUAGAGUGUGGGAGAGGCGCGUGGAAUUGCAGGUGUAGCGGUGAAAUGCGUAGAUAUCUGCAGGAACACCCGUGGCGAAAGCGGCGCGCUGGACCACUACUGACGCUGAGGAACGAAAGCUAGGGGAGCAAACAGGAUUAGAUACCCCCGUAGUCC